rnacentral:rRNA from 1 species
GAUGAACGCUGGCGUCGUGCCUAAUACAUGCAAGUCGAGCGAACGGACGAGAAGCUUGCUUUUCUGAUGUUAGCGGCGGACGGGUGAGUAACACGUGGAUAACCUACCUAUAAGACUGGGAUAACUUCGGGAAACCGGAGCUAAUACCGGAUAAUAUUUUGAACCGCAUGGUUCAAAAGUGAAAGACGGUCUUGCUGUCACUUAUAGAUGGAUCCGCGCUGCAUUAGCUAGUUGGUAAGGUAACGGCUUACCAAGGCAACGAUGCAUAGCCGACCUGAGAGGGUGAUCGGCCACACUGGAACUGAGACACGGUCCAGACUCCUACGGGAGGCAGCAGUAGGGAAUCUUCCGCAAUGGGCGAAAGCCUGACGGAGCAACGCCGCGUGAGUGAUGAAGGUCUUCGGAUCGUAAAACUCUGUUAUUAGGGAAGAACAUAUGUGUAAGUAACUGUGCACAUCUUGACGGUACCUAAUCAGAAAGCCACGGCUAACUACGUG